UACGGAGGGUGCAAGCGUUAUCCGGAUUCACUGGGUUUAAAGGGUGCGUAGGUGGGCAGGUAAGUCAGUGGUGAAAUCUCCGAGCUUAACUCGGAACUGCCGUUGAUACUAUUUGUCUUGAAUAUUGUGGAGGUAAGCGGAAUAUGUCAUGUAGCGGGUGAAAUGCUUAGAUAUGACAUAGAACACCAAUUGCGAAGGCAGCUUACUACACAACGAUUGACGCUGAGGCACGAAAGCGUGGGGAUCAAACAGG
rnacentral:rRNA from 1 species